UACGUAGGGGGCAAGCGUUGUCCGGAUUUAUUGGGCGUAAAGAGCGUGUAGGCGGCUUUACAGGUCCGUUGUGAAAACUCGAGGCUCAACCUCGAGACGCCGGUGGAAACCGUAAAGCUAGAGUCCGGAAGAGGAGAGUGGGAUUCCUGGUGUAGCGGUGAAAUGCGCAGAUAUCAGGAGGAACACCCGUGGCUAAGGCGGCUCUCUAGUACGGUACUGACGCUGAGACGCGAAAGCGUGGGGAGCGAACAGG
rnacentral:rRNA from 1 species